rnacentral:rRNA from 1 species
GACGAACGCUGGCGGCGUGCUUAACACAUGCAAGUCGAACGGAAAGGCCCUGCUUUUGUGGGGUGCUCGAGUGGCGAACGGGUGAGUAACACGUGAGUAACCUGCCCUUGACUUUGGGAUAACUUCAGGAAACUGGGGCUAAUACCGGAUAGGAGCUCCUGCUGCAUGGUGGGGGUUGGAAAGUUUCGGCGGUUGGGGAUGGACUCGCGGCUUAUCAGCUUGUUGGUGGGGUAGUGGCUUACCAAGGCUUUGACGGGUAGCCGGCCUGAGAGGGUGACCGGCCACAUUGGGACUGAGAUACGGCCCAGACUCCUACGGGAGGCAGCAGGGGGGAAUAUUGCACAAUGGGCGGAAGCCUGAUGCAGCAACGCCGCGUGCGGGAUGACGGCCUUCGGGUGGUAAACCGAUUUCGCCUGUGACGAAGCGUGAGUGACGGUAAUGGGUAAAGAAGCACCGGCUAACUACGUG